UACGAAGGGGGCUAGCGUUGUUCGGAAUUACUGGGCGUAAAGCGCACGUAGGCGGAUUGUUAAGUCAGAGGUGAAAUCCCGGAGCUCAACUUCGGAACUGCCUUUGAUACUGGCAAUCUAGAGUCCGGAAGAGGUUAGUGGAAUUCCCAGUGUAGAGGUGAAAUUCGUAGAUAUUGGGAAGAACACCGGUGGCGAAGGCGGCGAGCUGGUCCAUUACUGACGCUGAGGCGCGAAAGCGUGGGGAGCAAACAGG
rnacentral:rRNA from 1 species